GUUAAGCGACUAAGCGUACACGGUGGAUGCCCUGGCAGUCAGAGGCGAUGAAGGACGUGCUAAUCUGCGAUAAGCGUCGGUGAGGUGAUAUGAACCGUUAUAACCGGCGAUUUCCGAAUGGGGAAACCCAGUGUGUUUCGACACACUAUCAUUAACUGAAUCCAUAGGUUAAUGAGGCGAACCGGGGGAACUGAAACAUCUAAGUACCCCGAGGAAAAGAAAUCAACCGAGAUUCCCCCAGUAGCGGCGAGCGAACGGGGAGGAGCCCAGAGCCUGAAUCAGUGUGUGUGUUAGUGGAAGCGUCUGGAAAGGCGUGCGAUACAGGGUGACAGCCCCGUACACAAAAAUGCACAUAUUGUGAGCUCGAUGAGUAGGGCGGGACACGUGGUAUCCUGUCUGAAUAUGGGGGGACCAUCCUCCAAGGCUAAAUACUCCUGACUGACCGAUAGUGAACCAGUACCGUGAGGGAAAGGCGAAAAGAACCCCGGCGAGGGGAGUGAAAAAGAACCUGAAACCGUGUACGUACAAGCAGUGGGAGCCUCUUAAUGGGGUGACUGCGUACCUUUUGUAUAAUGGGUCAGCGACUUAUAUUCUGUAGCAAGGUUAACCGAAUAGGGGAGCCGAAGGGAAACCGAGUCUUAACUGGGCGUUAAGUUGCAGGGUAUAGACCCGAAACCCGGUGAUCUAGCCAUGGGCAGGUUGAAGGUUGGGUAACACUAACUGGAGGACCGAACCGACUAAUGUUGAAAAAUUAGCGGAUGACUUGUGGCUGGGGGUGAAAGGCCAAUCAAACCGGGAGAUAGCUGGUUCUCCCCGAAAGCUAUUUAGGUAGCGCCUCGUGAAUUCAUCUCCGGGGGUAGAGCACUGUUUCGGCAAGGGGGUCAUCCCGACUUACCAACCCGAUGCAAACUGCGAAUACCGGAGAAUGUUAUCACGGGAGACACACGGCGGGUGCUAACGUCCGUCGUGAAGAGGGAAACAACCCAGACCGCCAGCUAAGGUCCCAAAGUCAUGGUUAAGUGGGAAACGAUGUGGGAAGGCCCAGACAGCCAGGAUGUUGGCUUAGAAGCAGCCAUCAUUUAAAGAAAGCGUAAUAGCUCACUGGUCGAGUCGGCCUGCGCGGAAGAUGUAACGGGGCUAAACCAUGCACCGAAGCUGCGGCAGCGACGCUUAUGCGUUGUUGGGUAGGGGAGCGUUCUGUAAGCCUGUGAAGGUGGCCUGUGAGGGUUGCUGGAGGUAUCAGAAGUGCGAAUGCUGACAUAAGUAACGAUAAAGCGGGUGAAAAGCCCGCUCGCCGGAAGACCAAGGGUUCCUGUCCAACGUUAAUCGGGGCAGGGUGAGUCGACCCCUAAGGCGAGGCCGAAAGGCGUAGUCGAUGGGAAACAGGUUAAUAUUCCUGUACUUGGUGUUACUGCGAAGGGGGGACGGAGAAGGCUAUGUUGGCCGGGCGACGGUUGUCCCGGUUUAAGCGUGUAGGCUGGUUUUCCAGGCAAAUCCGGAAAACCAAGGCUGAGGCGUGAUGACGAGGCACUACGGUGCUGAAGCGACAAAUGCCCUGCUUCCAGGAAAAGCCUCUAAGCAUCAGGUAACAUCAAAUCGUACCCCAAACCGACACAGGUGGUCAGGUAGAGAAUACCAAGGCGCUUGAGAGAACUCGGGUGAAGGAACUAGGCAAAAUGGUGCCGUAACUUCGGGAGAAGGCACGCUGAUAUGUAGGUGAAGCGACUUGCUCGUGGAGCUGAAAUCAGUCGAAGAUACCAGCUGGCUGCAACUGUUUAUUAAAAACACAGCACUGUGCAAACACGAAAGUGGACGUAUACGGUGUGACGCCUGCCCGGUGCCGGAAGGUUAAUUGAUGGGGUUAGCGGUAACGCGAAGCUCUUGAUCGAAGCCCCGGUAAACGGCGGCCGUAACUAUAACGGUCCUAAGGUAGCGAAAUUCCUUGUCGGGUAAGUUCCGACCUGCACGAAUGGCGUAAUGAUGGCCAGGCUGUCUCCACCCGAGACUCAGUGAAAUUGAACUCGCUGUGAAGAUGCAGUGUACCCGCGGCAAGACGGAAAGACCCCGUGAACCUUUACUAUAGCUUGACACUGAACAUUGAGCCUUGAUGUGUAGGAUAGGUGGGAGGCUUUGAAGUGUGGACGCCAGUCUGCAUGGAGCCGACCUUGAAAUACCACCCUUUAAUGUUUGAUGUUCUAACGUUGGCCCGUAAUCCGGGUUGCGGACAGUGUCUGGUGGGUAGUUUGACUGGGGCGGUCUCCUCCUAAAGAGUAACGGAGGAGCACGAAGGUUGGCUAAUCCUGGUCGGACAUCAGGAGGUUAGUGCAAUGGCAUAAGCCAGCUUGACUGCGAGCGUGACGGCGCGAGCAGGUGCGAAAGCAGGUCAUAGUGAUCCGGUGGUUCUGAAUGGAAGGGCCAUCGCUCAACGGAUAAAAGGUACUCCGGGGAUAACAGGCUGAUACCGCCCAAGAGUUCAUAUCGACGGCGGUGUUUGGCACCUCGAUGUCGGCUCAUCACAUCCUGGGGCUGAAGUAGGUCCCAAGGGUAUGGCUGUUCGCCAUUUAAAGUGGUACGCGAGCUGGGUUUAGAACGUCGUGAGACAGUUCGGUCCCUAUCUGCCGUGGGCGCUGGAGAACUGAGGGGGGCUGCUCCUAGUACGAGAGGACCGGAGUGGACGCAUCACUGGUGUUCGGGUUGUCAUGCCAAUGGCACUGCCCGGUAGCUAAAUGCGGAAGAGAUAAGUGCUGAAAGCAUCUAAGCACGAAACUUGCCCCGAGAUGAGUUCUCCCUGAGACUUAGAGUCUCCUGAAGGAACGUUGAAGACGACGACGUUGAUAGGCCGGGUGUGUAAGCGCAGCGAUGCGUUGAGCUAACCGGUACUAAUGAACCGUGAGGCUUAACCUUACAACGCCGAAG
rnacentral:rRNA from 1 species